CGACAUGCGGAGCGGCUUGUCGCCGGGGCCCAUCGCGAGGGCCGCGUCACCGAUGGCGUACACGUCCGGGUGCGAGACCGAGCGCAUCGUCC
rnacentral:tRNA from 1 species